rnacentral:rRNA from 1 species
GACGAACGCUGGCGGCGUGCCUAAUACAUGCAAGUAGAACGCUGAAGGAGGAGCUUGCUUCUCUGGAUGAGUUGCGAACGGGUGAGUAACGCGUAGGUAACCUGCCUGGUAGCGGGGGAUAACUAUUGGAAACGAUAGCUAAUACCGCAUAAUAGUAGAUGUUGCAUGACAUUUGCUUAAAAGGUGCAAUUGCAUCACUACCUGAUGGACCUGCGUUGUAUUAGCUAGUUGGUGGGGUAACGGCUCACCAAGGCGACGAUACAUAGCCGACCUGAGAGGGUGAUCGGCCACACUGGGACUGAGACACGGCCCAGACUCCUACGGGAGGCAGCAGUAGGGAAUCUUCGGCAAUGGACGGAAGUCUGACCGAGCAACGCCGCGUGAGUGAAGAAGGUUUUCGGAUCGUAAAGCUCUGUUGUAAGAGAAGAACGAGUGUGAGAGUGGAAAGUUCACACUGUGACGGUAUCUUACCAGAAAGGGACGGCUAACUACGUG